GGAGGAAGUUGAGGAAGUGGACGAAGUUGACGAAGUGGACGAAGUUGACGAAGUGGACUUGUCCACUUCGUCCACUUCGUCAACUUGGUCCACUUCGUCCAUU
rnacentral:pre_miRNA from 1 species